rnacentral:rRNA from 1 species
AGAGGUUUGAUCCUGGCUCAGAUUGAACGCUGGCGGCAGGCCUAACACAUGCAAGUCGAGCGGUAGCACAGAGAGCUUGCUCUCGGGUGACGAGCGGCGGACGGGUGAGUAAUGUCUGGGAAACUGCCUGAUGGAGGGGGAUAAUUACUGGAAACGGUAGCUAAUACCGCAUAACGUCGCAAGACCAAAGUGGGGGACCUUCGGGCCUCAUGCCAUCAGAUGUGCCCAGAUGGGAUUAGCUAGUAGGUGGGGUAACGGCUCACCUAGGCGACGAUCCCUAGCUGGUCUGAGAGGAUGACCAGCCACACUGGAACUGAGACACGGUCCAGACUCCUACGGGAGGCAGCAGUGGGGAAUAUUGCACAAUGGGCGCAAGCCUGAUGCAGCCAUGCCGCGUGUGUGAAGAAGGCCUUCGGGUUGUAAAGCACUUUCAGCGAGGAGGAAGGCGGUGAGGUUAAUAACCUCAUCGAUUGACGUUACCCGCAGAAGAAGCACCGGCUAACUCCGUGCCAGCAGCCGCGGUAAUACGGAGGGUGCAAGCGUUAAUCGGAAUUACUGGGCGUAAAGCGCACGCAGGCGGUCUGUCAAGUCGGAUGUGAAAUCCCCGGGCUCAACCUGGGAACUGCAUUCGAAACUGGCAGGCUAGAGUCUUGUAGAGGGGGGUAGAAUUCCAGGUGUAGCGGUGAAAUGCGUAGAGAUCUGGAGGAAUACCGGUGGCGAAGGCGGCCCCCUGGACAAAGACUGACGCUCAGGUGCGAAAGCGUGGGGAGCAAACAGGAUUAGAUACCCUGGUAGUCCACGCUGUAAACGAUGUCGAUUUGGAGGUUGUGCCCUUGAGGCGUGGCUUCCGGAGCUAACGCGUUAAAUCGACCGCCUGGGGAGUACGGCCGCAAGGUUAAAACUCAAAUGAAUUGACGGGGGCCCGCACAAGCGGUGGAGCAUGUGGUUUAAUUCGAUGCAACGCGAAGAACCUUACCUGGUCUUGACAUCCACAGAACUUUCAGAGAUGGAUUGGUGCCUUCGGGAACUGUGAGACAAGGUGCUGCAUGGCUGUCGUCAGCUCUGUUUGUGAAUGGUUGGGAUAAGUUCCCGCACCAAGGCAACCUUAUCCUUUGUUGCCUGCGUUAGGCGGGGGACUCAAAAGAAAAAUGCCAG